CACGGGGUUGCGAGCGUUGUCCGGAAUUACUAGGCGUAAAGGGCAGGCAGGCGGAUCCAUAAGUUUAUCGUUUAAGGCGUCGGCUUAACCGGCGUAGGGCGGUAGAUACUGUGGAUCUGGAAUGCGGUUGGGGAUGACAGAAUUCCUGGUGUAGCGGUGGAAUGCGCAGAGAUCAGGAGGAAUACCGAAGGCGAAGGCAGUCUUCCAAGCCGUUAUUGACGCUCAACUGCGAAGGUGUGGGUAUCAAACAGGAUUAGAUACCCUGGUAGUCCCU
rnacentral:rRNA from 1 species